CAGGCUUAACACAUGCAAGUCGAGGGGCAUCAGGAAGAAAGCUUGCUUUCUUUGCUGGCGACCGGCGCACGGGUGAGUAACACGUAUCCAACCUGCCCUUUACUCGGGGAUAGCCUUUCGAAAGAAAGAUUAAUACCCGAUAGCAUAAUGAUUCCGCAUGGUUUCAUUAUUAAAGGAUUCCGGUAAAGGAUGGGGAUGCGUUCCAUUAGGUUGUUGGUGAGGUAACGGCCCACCAAGCCUUCGAUGGAUAGGGGUUCUGAGAGGAAGGUCCCCCACAUUGGAACUGAGACACGGUCCAAACUCCUACGGGAGGCAGCAGUGAGGAAUAUUGGUCAAUGGGCGCUAGCCUGAACCAGCCAAGUAGCGUGAAGGAUGAAGGCUCUAUGGGUCGUAAACUUCUUUUAUAUAAGAAUAAAGUGCAGUAUGUAUACUGUUUUGUAUGUAUUAUAUGAAUAAGGAUCGGCUAACUCCGUGCCAGCAGCCGCGGUAAUACGGAGGAUCCGAGCGUUAUCCGGAUUUAUUGGGUUUAAAGGGAGCGUAGGUGGACUGGUAAGUCAGUUGUGAAAGUUUGCGGCUCAACCGUAAAAUUGCAGUUGAUACUGUCAGUCUUGAGUACAGUAGAGGUGGGCGGAAUUCGUGGUGUAGCGGUGAAAUGCUUAGAUAUCACGAAGAACUCCGAUUGCGAAGGCAGCUCACUGGACUGCAACUGACACUGAUGCUCGAAAGUGUGGGUAUCAAACAGGAUUAGAUACCCUGGUAGUCCACACAGUAAACGAUGAAUACUCGCUGUUUGCGAUAUACAGUAAGCGGCCAAGCGAAGGCAUUAAGUAUUCCACCUGGGGAGUACGCCGGCAACGGUGAAACUCAAAGGAAUUGACGGGGGCCCGCACAAGCGGAGGAACAUGUGGUUUAAUUCGAUGAUACGCGAGGAACCUUACCCGGGCUUAAAUUGCAGUGGAAUGAUGUGGAAACAUGUCAGUGAGCAAUCACCGCUGUGAAGGUGCUGCAUGGUUGUCGUCAGCUCGUGCCGUGAGGUGUCGGCUUAAGUGCCAUAACGAGCGCAACCCUUAUCUUUAGUUACUAACAGGUUAUGCUGAGGACUCUAGAGAGACCGCCGUCGUAAGAUGUGAGGAAGGUGGGGAUGACGUCAAAUCAGCACGGCCCUUACGUCCGGGGCUACACACGUGUUACAAUGGGGGGUACAGAAGGCAGCUAGCGGGUGACCGUAUGCUAAUCCCAAAAUCCUCUCUCAGUUCGGAUCGAAGUCUGCAACCCGACUUCGUGAAGCUGGAUUCGCUAGUAAUCGCGCAUCAGCCACGGCGCGGUGAAUACGUUCCCGGGCCUUGUACACACCGCCCGUCAAGCCAUGGGAGCCGGGGGUACCUGAAGUACGUAACCGCAAGGAUCGUCCUAGGGUAAAACUGGUGACUGGGGC
rnacentral:rRNA from 1 species